AUGGCUGAUCGCUUUGCUCAAGGAAGGGGUGGAGGUGGAAGAGAUGUAGAGAGAGGAAGUAACUGGAGGCCGGCUGCUGGCUAUGGGAGAGAGCCUCAAUUCGACAUGCACGAUCAGGGAUAUCAAGCUCGCCCUCGACCCCCCUUCAGGAACUUCUCAGGUAACCAAUUCCAGAAUCACUUUGGUAGAGAUGGAUAUGGGAACUGGAAUCACGAAGGGAGUGGUCGUGACACGCGUCAAUUCCAGCAUAGACCGCUAGCUCAGAUCAAUUUGCCCCCCGCUGUUAGCAAAUACCAACAGAAAACCAAUGUUGUGACGAGUAGCGGGGGAGGGGGAGGUAAUGAAGCCCAGACUUCCCGAGCCAAUUCUGCUGGGGCAGUUCUAACUGGAACCGAGGGAUCAGUUGGAAUUCCUGAAAGCAAGCUACCGGCAACUGAAAAAAUUAUCUUCCAUAAAUGUGGAGAGAAAGGUCACAGUUCGAAAGGUUGUGAGGCAAUAGUCAAGUGUUCUAUCUGUACAAAAGACACUCAUAUUGCCGAAUUCUGCGCUUGGCUACAUCAGAAAAAGCCAGAGGCAGCACUGGUUGGUUUUGGAGGAGAAGGGCUGGGCAUUUUUGUGGCUGAGCACGCAAAAGACUUGGUUGGCAGUAGCAAAAAUGAUGUUGUGGCUUUGCUUAGGCUCAGGGAAGGAUGUGAUAUAGAGAUUGACUCAGAUGAUCUUAUCAGAAGUCUGGCAAAAACUUAUCCUUGA
rnacentral:rRNA from 1 species